ensembl:lncRNA
CAGAAAGCAUUUCACAUAACUCGUUCAUUCUAGUCCCUUGAAUUACAGCCAAAAUGCCUCUUGGUCUUCCACAGUGACCUCAUAAUCAUGCCUUUUCCAGCAUAUUCCCCUGGUUAACGUCUCCUUUGUUCCUUCACCUGAUCAUGGAUUGUCUUUUGGUUUCAAGAUGUGUCAUCCCCCUCCUGACUUUUUGUUUUCUUGCUGAGGGCUUCAGGACACAUUGCCACUGUACAGGGAGCCACUGCCCCGUUCAGCUCCCUUGUGGCCCUGUGUCGGUUUUCAUCUUCUUCCUUUUCCCAAGAGCAUUAGCCCACAUUAGCCCAGCCCCACUAACUCUCAUUAUUCUGUCCAGUCCUUCCUGAGCCUGCAGCUAAUAUAGGCAGACGAGUUCAUUUCAGAAGGCGGUUUUGGCAUGUGCAAGUCCCUAUCAUUGUGGUCUCACUCUCCUUUCUCUUCUCUCUCCGGUCACUUUAGGCAGAUAUUUCAGGGUUUUUCUGGGGACUCUGCAGUCUAGCCUGUGGAAGGUUGGACCUUCUCUGACUCCCAGAGUAAUCCCCAUUCCACCAGUAUGAGAAUCAAACGAACUAGUGAACGUGUGUGCUCAGUGACUUUGCAAGGGUCCCAGAAGCCAUAAAUUAUUGGUAGUCUUAAUUUCCUCCUCAAACUGCACUACUUGUGGAUACUAUCAAGUAGGUUAUAGGAACAGAAACUACGUUCUUUAGCAGCAAAUGCAUUCAUCACAGACAUAUAGUGAGUGUCUUCUGAAUGUGACUGCUGACCCAGUCCUGGCCCUUAGGAAGCACACAGUGUAGUUGAAGGAAUGUUUUACCAGUUGGUACAGAUGGCUCAGUUUAACUUGUGUAAAAGGGAGGUAAGCUAUCCUUUCUACAGAAUACAGAGUGGUGAUUUGACCUGGCCGAAGAUUAGGGGUGCUCCCUACCCCUGGGUAUGAGUUUUAGGCAAGAUCAUUUUAAAACUUGGGGCUUGCUGUUUACCUCCAGCCUCCUAAUCCUAUUAAUUCACAACUGUCUUUGGCCCUUUGGAGUAUUGCAUAACCCAUGGUAUAACCCCUGGGGCCAUUUUGGCAAAUGAUAGUUCUUGUCUACAGAGUCCAGAAUUGAUUUAUUUACCUGAGUCUUUAGAACUGGAUAAAAACAGAAUUGCUAAUUGCCCAAAGUACACUCAUGUUCAUACUUGGAGAAAAAUACAACUUGCCGGUGUUCUUUGAGCAUUUUAACAUUGUUUGACAAUAUUUGAAUGAUCAGCAGCUGCAUGGACAUGUCCUCCAGUCAGAUGUCGUGUGCCAGUCCUGUGCAAAAAUGGUUAGUGAAAAUACCAGUCUGGUUUCUAAUAAGAAGCCCUGACCCCCUCCAGGGCAGUUUGCAAACAAGAAUGAUUUUAGACCUUUCUUGGAAGCUCAACUUAAUAGGAGUGUUAAGUACCUAUUUAAAACAAGUCAACUAGAAUGCAUGCCAAAACUACUCUGUGUUUUCCUUGUAUAUAAGUUGCUUGCAUUAACUCAAUCGUCUUAACAACCCAGAACACAGUCAUAGAUGGCACCAGGUUCCUGAGUGGGGAAGCAGGGAUUGGACACCAGAUAUCUGAUGCAGGGCCACCAUGCUAUGUGUCCACCUUUCCACUUCUUCAUCUGCAGUGAGACUUGCAGAACGGAUCUCAGGAGUGGACAUUUUGGCAACUCACUCUGGAAUAUUGGCUGUUUAUCUCUCCAUGAGAUAAAACUUGGUGGAAAACAAUUUCUCAUGGAACCUGAGUUGAAUGACUGUCUCCAGUCACUCUCGUGAUUCACUUUCUAAUGACUGCGUUCCUCCUUGGAUCUUAGUAAGCACUUAACGAUCAGAAAGUAAAAGAGAGAACUUGGGAAAGCAAGAGAUAAGGAUGUAGAGCUGGAAUCCUGUUUCCCCAUCCCCAGGUUUAUCUGUUUCUCGAACUCCCAUCCUCUUGAUAGGUGAAGAAUUUGCCACUUGAGAUUUUUGGUGGGAGAAGGAAAAGAAAAAAUAAUCCUGGGAACACUCUACCCUGGAGGAAUAAUUGCACUCACAACCAAUUCCAUUAGCAUUCCUAAUUGGGAAUGUUAGCUAGCAGUGACAGAGAAAGUAGUAACCUUUGUCCCCAUUCGAGGCAGUUUCAGGAAGAGAUUAUCUUGCCAGAUUAGCAUGUUGCAACUUUCUACUGGAGAUCUGAAUGGGUUUGAAGGACUCUGCUUGGCAAGUGUCCCAGUUACCUGGGUUUGUGAGGGUCAUCGUUCAGAAUGCUUAGUCAGCUCCAGUCUGCCUGGGCUGGACACCAAACCGACAUGUGCGUCAAGAGGCAUUUUUGGGGGCUGCUUGAAAAUGAAGUGCAUGGUUUAAGGCUCAGUUAAGGGAAAUGGUAAAGUGUAUGAAUGUACCACACUCAUUUUUGUUAGCAUUCAGUUCAGUUAGCAGAAUGCGGAGAUGUUUAGUGUGUCAGUGUUGGAGGUUUUAAGUGAUUAAAAAAAUCAAGCAGAUGAGUGCCUAAAGAUGUCUAUGCAAACAAUGAUGAGCUUAAAUUAAAGCAGCUGAUUUAGUGUGAGAAUUACUUGCAUUGAUUUGUAGAAUAUCUAUAUGGGUUCAAGAUUCCAUAUUAUGCAAAUGGAUAAACCCCAAAGAUUCAAAAUAAAAAAAAAUUAUCUGUGAAGGAUAUUAUUACCAUUCAGUGAGAGGAAAAUGUAGACACAUUUCAGAUUAACCCUUACUUCCCACAUAUCCCCUGGGAUGACUAGCACCGGGGACAAACAACAGUCCCUGGAGGAAUUGUGAGGGAGCUUGCCAUCCUCUUGCAGCUGGCUCCAUGUCACACUGGCCUUUUGGCCACCUGGUGUGUUAGACAGUUCCUGCCCUUCUGACCUCAAGCCAAUAUCAGAAAAGGAUUGUAUAAAUAGAAUUUUAUGAGGAAAUCUGUAACGGAGCAUUACUUUCCUGGUAGGUCAGCAUUUGAGCUGGAGACAGACAAAAAACAAACACCUGGGAUAGGAAACUGACUCGUUCCACAGUGGUGACCUGGGGUAGGAAGUGCCAUGGUGAGCCGGAGAGACAAGCAGGUUAGAAGACGAAAACCUCAGUAAAAUGAAGAUAUAAAAUACAGAUUUGUCUCUGAGCUUCACCUUCAAGACUCUAGAUUCGAACACUUCAACCUGUCACAAGUGUGUCAUGUGGCUUUUAAACUGAUCUUCGGGGGAAACAACACUGUCAAGAAUUUUGGAUUUUUGUCAGUUAGUGGCAAAGAUCCAGUGAAAUUAUCCUUGAGUUCUUGACUAUAAUGGGAGGCAAUGCAUGCAAAGUCUUCUACCUUCCUAUCCCCUCCCCACUCACAGUUUCAUUGAUAAAAAUGGGCCGAGGAUUUUUUUUUAAUUAGUUUGUCCUAUAUUCCCAGUACAGUGGUGAUAUCUGGACAUUAAAAGAAACUGAUUGGUUAAGAGAACCGCUCUUGGGGGACUAAGACUGAACUGCUUUCCACCCCUCCAGCAACCAUGCUAUGUUGGGUUGGUGGCGCCAUCUAGUGCCAGUCUCUGAAACUGUGCUGGACUCCUGUCUUCCUCAUUCUUGAUGUAGGACUCCAGGAGGUAUGUGUGGAGUGGUUUUUCUGCAGAAGGGCCCUGUCCAGUGGGGACUGCUCUCUAGUUACUACCUUCCCUCUGCUCCUGCCUAUAAGUAUGUCUCCAUGCCGUUCUUUCCCCAGACUCUACAGCUCUCUGCACCCUUUCUUUUCUUUUUUCAGCUCUUGAUGAGUUUUCCUCCACCAUCUCCUCCUCCACCUCCUUUCCCCCCUUUCCUCAAUCCCCUCUUCCUAGUCAUGGGCUCUUCUCUUUGUUCUCCUUCUUCCCUCAUCCUCUUCCUCCUGGAACUAAAAUUGUUUGCGAAGCUCCCCGUCAGUACUAGCAGAUGAUAAGCAUCAAUAAUUUUCUUUCUUUUUUGAAAGUUUUCAUAUUCAUUUUGUGCAAGAGUCUCUUGGAAGACCUUGUCCUUCAUUCUUUGCCAAUUAGACGUUUUCCCAGACCCUGUCAUCGGUGGGGGUUUCAUUCAUUAGUUUUGGAACUGCUAUUACAGAACUAUUUCCUACUUCUAAGUUACAAGUAUAGCCUCUCAUACACACUUUAAACUGGAAGGGUUCUCAUGGACUACCCUGAGAUGCUCCCUCAUGAGCACCUUGUACUCGGCUUUGUGACAUGUGUUCUGAAUUCCAGGCAGCCAGUUCCCCCACAUGAUUCUUGGGCUCCUGUGUUAAAUGGAAGAGCAGAGCUGAGGGCAUGUAGAUCAAAGUCUGGCAUGAGAUUGCCGUGUAAGGACGGCCAGGGGGGCUGGAUUAGUGUGUAAGUUUCAGUCUCUCUCAUUCAACGCUUAAAUUCCCACGUAUGUUAAACACCUAGUGUGGGUUUGAUUGCUAGUCUCUUCCGAAAAACAGGAACUAUGCUUCGGUUACCAGUUCUUGUGGUCGAUAUGGCAGCUAUUUUGAUUUGUCAGAGGAGAGGAAAAGCAGUUAAAUCUAGUUAAAAUUAAAGCCAGUUAAAAUUAACCGGCUCAUGAGAUUUGAAUGCAGCUGUUCCACACUUCGAAAAACCGAGACUGUCUGUUUCAGGAAGUGAGGGUUCUGGAACAGGAAGGACCUUCAGGAGCUGCUUCACACUGUGACAUGUCUGAUCCCUUGUGCCCAUUACUGCAGCAUGAACAAGGUAAGAGAUGCUUUGGAUAUGUAUUUUGAAUUUUCUUCCUGUAUCAUGAUUUUCUUGGGCACAUAUGUCUGUCCAUGGCCCGAGGAGGUUGCUUUUCUUGCCAUUACAGUUACAGAGGUUGGGUAAUCGUGUAAUGCCCACAAGCCAUCUUUCAGUCAGGGUGCAGGAGCUGGUGGACACUUCAUGAUUCUGUGGUCAUUUAGAGUAUCUCUUGCAUUUCCCAGAGGUGUUUGAUAGUCGAAAUGUUGACUGUGUGACUGUGUUUACAUGACUAUUGAAGAAUUAGUCUGUGGAGCCAGAUUUCCUGAGAUGACUUUCAGCUCUGCCAAACCUUAGGCAAGUGACCUAACUUCUUGAUGC